AUACUACUCCCUCCGUCCCAAAAUUCUUCUCUUAGAUUUGUCUAAAUACGGAUGUAUCAAGUGAUAUUUUAGUAUCAGUUACAUCCACAUCUAGACUAAUCUAAGACAAGAAUUUUGGGAAGGAGGGAGUACUUU
rfam:Triticum aestivum genome assembly, contig: Triticum_aestivum_CS42_TGACv1_scaffold_145905_2BS